AUUGAACGCUGGCGGCAUGCCUUACACAUGCAAGUCGAACGGCAGCGGACCUUCGGGUGCCGGCGAGUGGCGAACGGGUGAGUAAUAUAUCGGAACGUACCUUUCAGUGGGGGAUAACGUAGCGAAAGUUACGCUAAUACCGCAUAUUCUGUGAGCAGGAAAGCAGGGGAUCGCAAGACCUUGCGCUGAUUGAGCGGCCGAUAUCAGAUUAGCUAGUUGGUGAGGUAAAGGCUCACCAAGGCGACGAUCUGUAGCGGGUCUGAGAGGAUGAUCCGCCACACUGGAACUGAGACACGGUCCAGACUCCUACGGGAGGCAGCAGUGGGGAAUUUUGGACAAUGGGCGCAAGCCUGAUCCAGCCAUGCCGCGUGAGUGAAGAAGGCCUCGGUUGUAAGA
rnacentral:rRNA from 1 species